rnacentral:rRNA from 1 species
UACCAGACUCCUACGGGAGGCAGCAGUGGGGGAUAUUGCACAAUGGGGGGAACCCUGAUGCAGCGACGCCGCGUGGGUGAAGGAGCGUUUCGGCGCGUAAAGCCCUCUCGGCAGGGAAGAAGGAGGACGGUACCUGACUAAGAAGCCCCGGCUAACUACGUGCCAGCAGCCGCGGUAAUACGUAGGGGGCAAGCGUUAUCCGGGUUUACUGGGGGUAAAGGGGGCGCAGACGGCGGCGCAAGCCAGGAGUGAAAGCCCGGGGCCCAACCCCGGGACUGCUCUUGGAACUGCGCGGCUGGAGUGCAGGAGGGGCAGGCGGAAUUCCUGGUGUAGCGGUGAAAUGCGUAGAUAUCAGGAGGAACACCGGCGGCGAAGGCGGCCUGCUGGACCGUAACUGACGUUGAGGCUCGAAAGCGUGGGGAGCAAACAGGAUUAGAUACCCCAGUAGU